GUUGAUUUCUUUGUCAAAAAGAAGAGUUUGUCACACGAAUAGAAAGAUUUUUAUGUUUACUAGCUUUAGGUAUCGACAAGUUACUGUGUAAAACUAAAUAGACUUCAUUUUUAAAGUUUUGAAGUAAUAGUGCAUAAUGGUGGUGUCUCAAACUUUGAUGUUGUUAAUAGGCGAUGAAUUUCUGUGAUAUAUUCAUUAAAUUUUAUGUGAUAUUUAAAAAAAAUAUUGUUCAUUUCUUAGUAGGAAAUUGAAAUAAAAGGCAGUGUUUUGUUUUAUAUGAAAUUUAGGAACGAAAUAGGGUGGUUUUGUAUAAAAAAUUGAAUAGGAAAGUUUCCAUUGCCAACGAGCAGCUAUCAAAUACUAUCAAAGUACGAUCAAUUUUCGCGACAUAAAAAACGAUGUGGGAAGGUAUUUAAAAUUUGAAAUAUGGCAGACGUCAACAAACAUGAAAUUAGAACGAGACUUGUUUUCAAACAUUUUGAAAAGGAAAAUUAUUAUCUUUUUGUUAGAAAAGAGAAGAGCGAUACUUGGAGCUUACCUUCAAAUACCGUAGGCCGUUUGCAAAGCAUCGAAGAAAGUGCAAAAAGUAUUUCAAAUUCGGUAAGUUUCAUGUUUUCACUUUCGCUAUGUUGUUCUGGUGUUUUGUUUUGCAAAGUUUGUUUUGUUUGCUAGUUUAUUUAAUAGUGCAGUAGAUGUCAAUUGCUUUUGCAUGAUAUGGUCAUUGCAUAAUAUACAAAUAAACAACUUAUUAUUGGUAUAAACUAAUUAUUGUGUCAAUAUAUUUAUCUUGGCCUCAUAACCGGAUGUUGUUAUAUUACAAUAACAAUUUGUUGUUUUAUUAAAUUUCUGCGUCCACUAAAAAACAUGCUCAUCAUGCACUAUUCUCAAAGAAAUAAUGGUCUAAUUUAUCUGUUGGACAGCUACCUGUCACUAUAGUCUGCAGGCAGAUAGUCAUCAAGACCAAAGCUAGAAUUGUGUGAUCUAUACUGGCAAAGAUUCUAGUUUGUUUAAUGCUGUAUUUAUACACUUAGACAGAUGGUUGUUCAAGAUAAACUAUGCACGGAAGUUUCUGAGUACAUAUAAUCAGUGCAAAUACUUCAUCUUGAUGCAUAAUCCAUCUCUUUAAGGCUUUUACAGUAUGUACAGACAAAUUAUAUAUGUCAAUUCUUCUGUUCUUUUCUUGGGAUACCUCAGGUCGAUCAUCCAUCCCUAUUAACCUGUUAAACUGUAAUGCACUAUGAUGCACCCUAUUUUGUUAUUUUACACUGUCUAAUGCCAGAUGGUUAAUUUUACAUGUCAUGGACACCAAUGUGGCCAUUCUCAAAGUACUCAAUCUUAUGUAGGUUUUAGAACUUCCUUCUCUGGUUUUAAAAUGUCUGCUACAAAUUCGUCAUUCUGUCACAGACAUGGUCAUUGAUUUCCUGUAUCUUGCCACCUCUGAAGACAACCCUCAUGUGAAAACUGUAAAACUACCAAAGCCUGACAGCGAAGGGUUGACUAGUUUAAAAAAUGAGACAUGUUCUUGGAUUCCAUACUCCUAUGUCAGUGUUGGCAAUCCUGAUGAAUUUUCUGCAGAAACAAAAGAGAUUAUUGGUAAAGUUGAGAAAGGUAAUAGAUGGG